rnacentral:rRNA from 1 species
AUUGAACGCUGGCGGCAGGCUUAACACAUGCAAGUCGAGCGGAGAGAGGUAGCUUGCUACUGAUCUUAGCGGCGGACGGGUGAGUAAUGCUUAGGAAUCUGCCUAUUAGUGGGGGACAACAUUUCGAAAGGAAUGCUAAUACCGCAUACGUCCUACGGGAGAAAGCAGGGGAUCUUCGGACCUUGCGCUAAUAGAUGAGCCUAAGUCGGAUUAGCUAGUUGGUGGGUUAAAGGCCUACCAAGGCGACGAUCUGUAGCGGGUCUGAGAGGAUGAUCCGCCACACUAGGACUGUGGGACGGACAAGACUCCCACGGGAGGUAGCAGUGGGGAAUAUUGGAUAAUGGGGGCAAGCCUGGUCCAUGCAUGCCGCGUGUGUGAAGAAGGCCUUAUGGUUGUAAAGCACUUUAAGCGAGGAGGAGGCUACUUUAGUUAAUACCUAGAGAUAGUGGACGUUACUCGCAGAAUAAGCACCGGCUAACUCUGUGCCAGCAGCCGCCGUAA